AGCUGAGUGGCGUAGUGGAAAGCGCGGUAAGUUAUACAACCUUUCAACACCUGUAGCACAGUGACUCAUUAGACCCAUAGCUAGGCUCAUAUAGUGACACCCGGAGGCCGCCGGAUCAACACCGGCCUCAGCUA